AAAAAAGUAGAUGGCUAACCUAUUAUAUUUUGGGCCUCAUUUGACUUAAAUAGUGUUGAUGUUUAAAGUUGAAGACAGUAUAUAAUUCAUCAAGAACAGUGAAAUCCAGAAUUAAGCCUCAAAUGUGACUGAUUUACUAUAGAACAAAGAACACGAAAAUUCACCAGGCCGUCACCAAGAGGAGAAAUUUGAAAAAUGGGAACUAGUUGAUGGAUAUGGAUGAAACUUUGCAUCAGUGUUGUGUUUAUGCAUAGAAAUCAGGAAAAUAAAGGAUAACUGACAGACCAUGCAGUUACCAAAGCCGGGGUUUGAGUACAGGACCUUACCUUAUACUGGUUAAGAUCUAUGGAAGAACUCUUUCAGCUCAGUUUGGCAGCAGAUUUGUCAGGACAAGUUGAGAAGGAACUCAUUUGUUGGCGGAAGGAAUAAAGAUGUACCACCCACCAGCAGUCAGGAGUUUUCAAAGUGGUGAAUUUAAACUGUAUUACAACAGAGUGAAGAUUUUUGAAAAAAGUAGAUGGCUAACCUAUUAUAUUUUGGGCCUCAUUUGACUUGAAUAGUGUUGAUGUUUAAAGUUGAAGACAGUAUAUAAUUCAUCAAGAACAGUGGAAUCCAGAAUUAAGCCUCAAAUGUGACUGAUUUACUAUAGAACAAAGAACACGAAAAUUCACCAGGCCGUCACCAA